AAACUGCGAAUGGCUCAUUAAAUCAGUUAUCGUUUAUUUGAUAGUACCUUACUACUUGGAUAACCGUGGUAAUUCUAGAGCUAAUACAUGCUAAAAACCCCGACUUCGGGAGGGGUGUAUUUAUUANAUAAAAAACCAACGCCCUCACGGGCUCCUUGGUGAUUCAUGAUAACUUAACGGAUCGCAUGGNCUUGCGCCGGCGACGGUUCAUUCAAAUUUCUGCCCUAUCAACUUUCNAUUGUAGGGUAUUGGCCUACAAUGGUAUUAACGGGUAACGGGGAGUUAGGGCUCGACUCCGGAGAGGGAGCCUGAGAGACGGCUACCACAUCCAAGGAANGCAGCAGGCGCGCAAAUUACCCAAUCCCGACACGGGGAGGUAGUGACAAUAAAUACUGAUACNGGGCUCUUAUGGGUCUCGUAAUUGGAAUGAGUACAAUUUAAAUACCUUAACGAGGAACAAUUGGAGGGNAAGUCUGGUGGGANAACCCGCGUUUCACGACGCUGACGCCAGACAGAGUGGGGGCCCCUCGUCAAGGCGAGGGGGGGCCCCCGCUAGUCGAGCACCUGCAAGCUUGGUAGGGAGGUGCCGGCAAGGUAACCUGGUACGGGGGAGUCUUGUGUUGUGACGAUCCCGUGGCGAGCUCCGAGAGCCGCUGUAACGCGCGCAAAGGUACCGGCCAGUGGCUCUGGCUCGAGGGACGCGCUCAUUCCCAUGCGAAAGCAUGUCCCCACGCGAAGCACCUACCUUGCGAUGCGUGGGGGGUGCCGACCGAGGCCACCCGAUGGAGGUGGCAUGGCGGCGCCGGAAGGCCGGUGCGCUCGCACGUUGCGUGGGCUCGCCCACCCGUGCCCGCGCAUGGCCUCGCAGAAAAAGGCCAGCAGCCGCGGUAAUUCCAGCUCCAAUAGCGUAUAUUAAAGUUGUUGCAGUUAAAAAGCUCGUAGUUGAACCUUGGGCCUGGCUGGCCGGUCCGCCUCACCGCGUGCACUGGUCCGGCCGGGCCUUUCCUUCCGGAGAGCCCCAUGCCCUUCACUGGGUGUGGUGGGGAACCGGGACUUUUACUUUGAAAAAAUUAGAGUGUUCAAAGCAGGCCUUUGCUCGAAUACGUUAGCAUGGAAUAAUAGAAUAGGACGUGCGGUCCUAUUUUGUUGGUUUCUAGGACCGCCGUAAUGAUUAAUAGGGAUAGUCGGGGCCAUCAGUAUUCAAUUGUCAGAGGUGAAAUUCUUGGAUUUAUUGAAGACUAACUACUGCGAAAGCAUUUGGCAAGGAUGUUUUCAUUAAUCAGUGAACGAAAGUUAGGGGAUCGAAGACGAUCAGAUACCGUCGUAGUCUUAACCGUAAACUAUGCCGACUAGGGAUCGGGCGAUGUUAUUAUUUUGACUCGCUCGGCACCUUACGAGAAAUCAAAGUUU
rnacentral:rRNA from 2 species